GAUGAACGCUGGCGGCGUGCCUAAUACAUGCAAGUCGAGCGCCCCUUUCUUAGUGUUUAUAGCAAUAUGAACCCUGAGAUGGGGAGCGGCGGACGGGUGAGUAACACGUGGGAACAUACCCCAAACUGAGGGAUAAGCACCAGAAAUGGUGUCUAAUACCGCAUAUGGUCUUUUGAUUAAAGCUUCGGCGGUUUGGGAAUGGCCUGCGUCCGAUUAGCUAGUUGGUGAGGUAAAGGCUUACCAAGGCUAUGAUCGGUAGUUGGUCUGAGAGGAUGAUCAACCACACUGGAACUGAGAUACGGUCCAGACUCCUACGGGAGGCAGCAGUAGGGAAUCUUCCACAAUGGACGAAAGUCUGAUGGAGCAACGCCGCGUGCAGGAUGAAUGCCUUCGGGUUGUAAACUGCUUUUAUAGGUGAAAAUUAUGAUGGUAGCCUAUGAAUAAGGAUCGGCUAACUCCGUGCCAGCAGCCGCGGUCAUACGGAGGAUCCAAGCGUUAUCCGGAAUUACUGGGCGUAAAGAGUUGCGUAGGUGGUUUAUUAAGCGAUUAGUGAAAGCAUUCGGCUCAACCGAAUAAACAUUAUUCGAACUGAUUAACUUGAGAAUGUGAGGGGUACCUGGAAUUCCCGGUGUAGGAGUGAAAUCCGUAGAUAUCGGGAGGAACACCAAUGGCGUAGGCAGGGUACUGGCACAUUUCUGACACUGAGGCACGAAAGCGUGGGGAGCGAACGGGAUUAGAUACCCCGGUAGUCCACGCCGUAAACGAUGAAUGCUAGCAGUAGGAGGUAUCGACCCCUUCUGUUGCGAAGCUAACGCGUUAAGCAUUCCGCCUGGGGAGUACGAGCGCAAGCUUAAAACUCAAAGGAAUUGACGGGGACCCGCACAAGCGGUGGAGCGUGUUGUUUAAUUCGACGAUAAGCGAAGAACCUUACCAAGGUUUGACAUCCUGAGAAAUUCUGGGAAACCAGAGUGUGCCUUUUGGAACUCAGUGACAGGUGCUGCAUGGCCGUCGUCAGCUCGUGUCGUGAGAUGUUGGGUUAAGUCCCGCAACGAGCGCAACCCUUGUGGUUAGUUGUAUUUUUCUAACUAUACUGCCUCGGCAACGGGGAGGAAGGAGGGGAUGAUGUCAGGUCCGUAUUGCCCUUACACCUUGGGCCACAAACACGCUACAAUGGCUGGUACAAUGGGCUGCCAAGUCGCGAGAUGGAGCAAACCCCAUCAAAGCCAGUCCCAGUUCGGAUUGCAGGCUGAAACUCGCCUGCAUGAAGUCGGAAUCGCUAGUAACCGUAGGUCAGAACACUACGGUGAAUACGUUCCCGGGUCUUGUACACACCGCCCGUCAUACCACGGAAGUCGCCAACACCCGAAGCCUAACGUUCGUUAGCCUAAGGUGGGGGAGAUGACUGGGGUA
rnacentral:rRNA from 1 species